AUGUACUGCAUCUCUCAUCUCAUGAGGUUGCAGCUCUGCAGACAAAGAGCUUUACUUCAAGCUAAAAGAGAUAUUAGUGACUUGUUUUUCUCUCUCUUCUUUUUGGUCAUGUGCUUCCCAGGCUUUGCACAGAACUCCUGCGUUUUAGGAUGCAAAAAGAAAGCAACUGGAUUUCUGCCAAGGAUUGAUGGCCUCUAUGGCUCCUAUGAAGAUCUGCAGAUUGGGCAAGUUUCAGAUGCCUUUGUGGAUUUCACAGGUGGUGUUAAUACAAGCAUCAAGCUUGCAGCAGCUCCUCCUGAUCUGUGGGAUACGCUGAGAAGUGCAGCCUGGAGCAGAUCUCUCAUGGGCUGUCAGAUGCAUUUAGGGCACCAGGAAGUCAAUAGAAAGCUGUCCCCAGCAUUAUUCACCUGGCACCACCUUGUGAAUAAGCACCAAGUCUUGAUGGUUGGGAAGUGA
rnacentral:lncRNA from 1 species